CAGUCGCCACGGUAAUACGAACCGUGCGAACGUUAUUCGGAAUCACUGGGCUUAAAGCGCGUGUAGGCGGACCAGCACGUCUGAUGUGAAAGCCCCCGGCUCAACCGGGGAGGGUCAUUGGAAACUGGGAAACUUGAGUGCAGAAGAGGAGAGUGGAAUUCCACGUGUAGCGGUGAAAUGCGUAGAGAUGUGGAGGAACACCAGUGGCGAAGGCGACUCUCUGGUCUGUAACUGACGCUGAGGAGCGAAAGCGUGGGGAGCGAGCAGGAUUAGAUACCCGUGUAGUCCCUGUCUCUUAUAC
rnacentral:rRNA from 1 species